rnacentral:rRNA from 2 species
UGGGGAAUUUUGGACAAUGGGGGCAACCCUGAUCCAGCAAUGCCGCGUGUGUGAAGAAGGCCUUCGGGUUGUAAAGCACUUUUGUCCGGAAAGAAAGCAUCCCUGUUAAUACCGGGGGUGGAUGACGGUACCGGAAGAAUAAGCACCGGCUAACUACGUGCCAGCAGCCGCGGUAAUACGUAGGGUGCGAGCGUUAAUCGGAAUUACUGGGCGUAAAGCGUGCGCAGGCGGUGAUGUAAGACCGAUGUGAAAUCCCCGGGCUUAACCUGGGAACUGCAUUGGUGACUGCAUCGCUAGAGUAUGGCAGAGGGGGGUGGAAUUCCACGUGUAGCAGUGAAAUGCGUAGAGAUGUGGAGGAACACCGAUGGCGAAGGCAGCCCCCUGGGCCAAUACUGACGCUCAUGCACGAAAGCGUGGGGAGCAAACAGG